rnacentral:rRNA from 1 species
UACGAGAGGCCCAAACGUUAUUCGGAAUUACUGGGCUUAAAGAGUUCGUAGGCGGCGCAGAAAGUAGGGUGUGAAAUCCCUCGGCUUAACCGGGGAACUGCGUCUGAUACUGGAUGGCUAGAGUUUGGGAGAGGGAUGCGGAAUUCCAGGUGUAGCGGUGAAAUGUCGUAGAUUGAUCUGGAGGAACACCGGUGGCGAAGGCGGCAUCCUGGACCAACACUGACGCUGAGGAGCGGAAAGCCAGGGGAGGCAAAACAGGG